rnacentral:rRNA from 1 species
UACGUAGGGUGCAAGCGUUACUCGGAAUUACUGGGCGUAAAGCGUGCGCAGGCGGUUGUGCACGCCAGAUGUGAAAUCCCCGGGCUUAACCUGGGAACUGCAUUUGUGACUGCACGGCUAGAGUGUGUCAGAGGGGGGUAGAAUUCCACGUGUAGCAGUGAAAUGCGUAGAGAUGUGGAGGAAUACCGAUGGCGAAGGCAGCCCCCUGGGAUAACACUGACGCUCAUGCACGAAAGCGUGGGGAGCAAACAGG